UAGACCUCUUCCAAUUAUUUGAAAUCUGAUUUCAAAAGCCACCUUUUUCUUCCCUCCUGUUGGUUGAUCAUCCCUCUUUCCUACGGAGCCUGGCUUGCACGCAAAGUAAAGGGCCUGUGCUUUCAGGUCUCAUAAGGCUUUGGAUUCAAGCAAGAAAUCCUCAAUAUAUGAUUCCUAUUCUGCUACAACUAAGGAAAAUAUAAAUA
rnacentral:lncRNA from 1 species